UAAACAAAUCAAUAAGUUAAACUAGAUCUGCUAUAUCACAUUAUAUUAAGAGUAGUUAAACAAGAUUAAACUAAAAUUCACACAAUAAGUAAUGCUGAAAAUAGUAAAUAUUUUAUAAAUACAACUUUGAAAAUGCAAUACACUUUAGUGAGGAUUGAUGUUGGACAUAAGUCUUGGAGAAUAAAACUGAUAUAGAAAAUUUAUAUCUAGGUAUAUCGAAAGCUUUCCACACAUUUCACAACUAUCUCUAAAAUUAAAAGCUUAUAGAAUAGAUAACAAACUAUACAAUUGGAUUUGAAUGUUACCUAAGAGAUUGGCAUUAGAGUAUCAAUGUUGGUGGUACAUACUCAGAAUGGAUAAUAGUAAAUAGUGGGGUCCCCCAUUAUAUACUUUUAUGAUAUAUAUUAACGAUUUUUCUGAUUUGGUUUUAGAUGUUGUAUCUGUAUUUAUAUAUGAUACUAAGUUAUACAGUUUGCUUUUUGAUAGCUCACCAUGUAUUAAUAUGCAAAAAAGUAUGGACAUUAUAGCAAACUGGGCAAAACUAUGAAAGCUGAGUUUUAAUGUAAAAAAAUGUCAAGUUAUGCCCUUAGGACCAACAAAUACAAAAAUCAUUUAUAUACUCGUCGAUAUCUUGCCUUCAGGCUGCCAUACGUAAAGUCACGCUUGUAAAAGUAACUGAAAGCAGCUGAAAAUAAGAAUUUUUUGAUGAACUUUCUUACUUCGGUUGGAGGAGAUGAGAAAUAACUUACAGCAGCAAUCUUAAUACAGUUAAUGGCCAAUGAAGUCUGUUUUUUAUACUCAAUGUAUGGAAGGAAACAAAAAUGUCCUGCAAGGUCGUUAUAGAUUUGCGUUUAGUCAUUUAUCGUUGUAUUCGUUUAUUUUGAAAUCGCUACUGACAAAAGUAUUAAAGAAAAAAUUGGCAGCUUUCUGGCGACGGCCAUUAAUAAAGAUUACGGAAGAAAAAUAGAACCGUAACUGAGCAACGCCCAAUAUUGAGCAAUGAAAUAAGUAUUGCCAAAAUAAUGAAAGUCGUUGCCCACUAUCUCAUAGUGAGAGUAUAAUACAGUAGUUUAUAUAUAUAUAUAUAUAU